GGCACCUGUUCAUGCAGUGUCAGUUGGAGUAGGGAGGACCGAUGUGUGGCUUUAUGUUUUGGGAUUGCUGAGUUUUUGGUUCUUUUGUGUGCUUUGCUUUAGAUUUGUUUCCCUUAGUUUUCUUUUGUUGCUAAACAUUUAAGUUCUUGGUGAAUCACUGUUUUGGAGAAGGCGGCACACAAGUAUUCAGGUCCAGUCUCACCUUCUCAGCAGCUUUUUGUUUGUUCCUGAAGUUGCUGAAAUCCGUCAAUGGAAGAAUCUCUACAUGGAGCAUGGCAUCAAGGAUGGAGCAGGAGUAAAGUCAGCAGAUAUGGAUCCAGACACGGAGCACCUCACAAGGAAGGCGCACACCCUCAUCAAGAGCUGCUCUAUGACCACAGAAUCUGAUUAGGAGAAGAAACUUUCUGGUGCCCACUCCCCUGGGUUCAGGUGAAGACUUGUUUUCAGAACUGAACGAGGAAGUUUAGGAAAACCAGCACAUGAUGUAGAGAAAUUUCAGCACUGUGGCUCAACAGGAGCAGGUCCUGCCUUACCUGAACACCUUUGUCAGUGAUGGAGCUUCCUGUUUGUAUCUAAACACUGGGUCAGUUAAAGAGGGUGGGGGAGUAAAGAAAGGCCACUUCCUCCCUUGUGUUGGUGUAGCUGAAGUCGUAGACGUCCAAUAUUUUCUCCUCUUGCCUUUGGUGCUGUUUAUCCAUCUAGAUUAUUUUGGUAUGGGCAACCCACUCUUGUAGUUUUCUCUGAGCUCUGUGUCUCUGAAAAGUAAUGUUUCCAUUCUAAAGAAAUCCAGACUGUGUUACAGAUCUACUGACCUUGUAGGAAUUCUUUUCUUUCCACUGAACUACAUCUGCUAACCAUAUCAGUGUCCUGGAGGAAGCACGUAAAGGCUUUGAACAAGAAGCUUGACUUCAUGACAGACUUCAUGCUUCUUUGUAGUUGGCAGGUGUAGACACUGCACCAGAUUUCUGAGUUUUAACAAAUUCAUGCAUUUCAAUAAUACUUGGGACUAGAAAAGGUGGCAGUCGAGAAACAGGCAGUGCUUCAUUUAACAAAGUCAAUAUUUAUAGCAGAAAAGAUGGAGGUUUAGAUCAUUUUGCUUAAAAUAUUUAUUAAAAACCCUGGACUAACCUCCAGCCAUAACAUGUUUGGCAUAAAAAUAUUAACAGUUGUAAUUAACACGUGUGCACAAAGUCUUUCAAAUACAGCCUCUGUCAUGUCAAGAAACAUGAACAGAACAUUUAAAAUGGCCAUCAGAUAAAAUUCACAGCAAACCUGAUAUGCUGCCAGUGCCAGCUAGCUUCCAUGUUGGAAAAACACAGAUGUGGAAGUGCUUUAAAUUUCUCUGGAAACCACCAGCAUGUGAUUUCAAAAUCAGACCUCCACACAUCAUAUUUCUGCCAUGUUGUUUUUGAGACCAGUAUGGUAAAAAUCCUCAUCUUGUGCUUCAGAAUGAUAAUUCACAAAUAAAAGGGGGCAGUAACAGUAGCUACAGCCAUCUUUAGCUGUUAGCAAGGUUCUCCACUUUCUGUGUAAAAACUUGCACUGUGAAGUCCGGGGUUGUUCACAUUCCAUGCAGUGCUGAAGACACUGGUGUUGCAAUCAUAAUGUACAUUAUUUUUACAAUUAUUGGAAGAUGCAACAAAAUGAAACAAAACAUUUUCAUCUCUUAAUGUUAUAUACAAAACUUCUGAUGGUGCUCUCUCUGAUUCUCCCAGUAUGUAUUUACAAUAGCCAGAGUCGACUGAAUUCAAAUAUUUCUAAAAAUCAAUUGAUUAAAAAUAAAGGGCCUAAAUUUCACCCCGUUCCUUUUAUUUACUGAAAGAGAUCAAAUCUGAGACUCUAAUAUGUUGAGCUACAUGAAAACAGGAAUAGUAAAAUUUAAUACAAGAAAGAUGAUAUACUUUACAAUGUUUGUAAUUAAAGGAGCAUUAGCUCAACCCAAAUCUUCACCUAAGUAUGGAAGAAAAUGGAUAAUACUUAAUUAGUACAAUAGACCCAAACUUCAGAAUGAAUUCAGUUUCUUAUGU